AGAGUUUGAUCCUGGCUCAAAAUGAACGUUGGCGGCGUGGAUUAGGCAUGCAAGUCGUACGCCCCGCAAGGGGCGUGGCGUAAGGGUGAGUAAUGCGACGGUAACCAACCCCAAGGCCGGGUAUAGCCGCGGGAAACUGCGGGUAAUCCCCGGAGCGGUCACGUGAGGACAUCCUCGUGUGAUCAAAGGUGCGAUUCCGCCUUGGGACGGGCCGUCGUGGUAUCAGGUAGUUGGUGGGGUGACGGCCUACCAAGCCGACGACGCCUACCGGGCGUGCGAGCGUGGCCCGGCAAACUGGAACUGAGACACUGUCCAGACACCUACGGGUGGCGGCAGUCGAGAAUCUUCGGCAAUGGGCGAAAGCCUGACCGAGCGACGCCGCGUGGAGGAUGAAGGCCUUCGGGUUGUAAACUCCUGUCGAGGGGGACUAAGGUGCCGUGAAGAACGGCGCUUGAGGUAUCCCUGGAGGAAGCACGGGCUAAGUUCGUGCCAGCCGCCGCGGUAAUUC
rnacentral:rRNA from 1 species